rnacentral:tRNA from 1 species
GAAGAAGUAGCUCAAUGGCAGAGCGGCUGUAUCACCCAUGAACAGUUGGGUCUUAAGUUCGAAUCUUGGGCUUCUUCCCCG